rnacentral:rRNA from 1 species
UACGUAGGGGGCAAGCGUUGUCCGGAUUUAUUGGGCGUAAAGCGCACGCAGGCGGUUUCUUAAGUUUUGAGUGACAGGUGGGGGCUCAACUCCCACAGGCCUUGGAAAACUGGGAAACUUGAGGACGAGAGAGGGAUGCGGAAUUCCAGGUGGAGCGGUGAAAUGCAUAGAUAUCGAGAGGAACACCUGCGGCGAAGGCGGGUUGCUGGGCUGACACUGACGCUGAUGCGCGAAAGCCAGGGGAGCGAACGGG